GAUGAACGCUGGCGGCGUGCCUAAUACAUGCAAGUCGAGCGAACAGACGAGGAGCUUGCUCCUCUGACGUUAGCGGCGGACGGGUGAGUAACACGUGGAUAACCUACCUAUAAGACUGGGAUAACUUCGGGAGACCGGAGCUAAUACCGGAUAAUAUAUUGAACCGCAUGGUUCAAUAGUGAAAGACGGUUUUGCUGUCACUUAUAGAUGGAUCCGCGCCGCAUUAGCUAGUUGGUAAGGUAACGGCUUACCAAGGCAACGAUGCGUAGCCGACCUGAGAGGGUGAUCGGCCACAUUGGAACUGAGACACGGUCCAGACUCCUACGGGAGGCAGCAGUAGGGAAUCUUCCGCAAUGGGCGAAAGCCUGACGGAGCAACGCCGCGUGAAUGAUGAAGGUCUUCGGAUCGUAAAACUCUGUUAUUAGGGAAGAACAAAUGUGUAAGUAACUAUGCACGUCUUGACGGUACCUAAUCAGAAAGCCACGGCUAACUACGUG
rnacentral:rRNA from 1 species